GAUCCUGGCUCAGGAUGAACGCUAGCUACAGGCUUAACACAUGCAAGUCGAGGGGGCGAGCGGGGGUUGAAGCUUGCUUCAACCGCCGGCGACCGGCGCACGGGUGAGUAACGCGUAUCCAACCUGCCCACCACUUGGGGAUAACCUUGCGAAAGUAAGACUAAUACCCAAUGAUAUCUCUAGAAGACAUCUGAAAGAGAUUAAAGAUUUAUCGGUGAUGGAUGGGGAUGCGUCUGAUUAG
rnacentral:rRNA from 1 species